GAUGAACGCUGGCGGCGUGCCUAAUACAUGCAAGUCGAGCGAACGGACGAGAAGCUUGCUUCUCUGAUGUUAGCGGCGGACGGGUGAGUAACACGUGGAUAACCUACCUAUAAGACUGGGAUAACUUCGGGAAACCGGAGCUAAUACCGGAUAAUAUUUUGAACCGCAUGGUUCAAAAGUGAAAGACGGUCUUGCUGUCACUUAUAGAUGGAUCCGCGCUGCAUUAGCUAGUUGGUAAGGUAACGGCUUACCAAGGCAACGAUGCAUAGACGACCUGAGAGGGUGAUCGGCCACACGAGAGCGGGGACACGGUCCAGACUCCUACGGGAGGGAGCAGUAGCGAAUCUGCCGCAAAGGGCGAAAGCCUGACGGAGCAACGCGGCGUGAGUGAUGAAGGUCUUCGGAUCGUAAAACUCUGUUAUGAGGGAAGAACAGAUGUGUAAGUAACUGUGCAGAGCUUGACGGUACCUAGUCAGAAAGCCACGGCUAACUACGUG
rnacentral:rRNA from 1 species